rnacentral:lncRNA from 1 species
CUCCAGUAAUUUAAAUUUUGCUGAAUAUAGGCUUUCUCUCUUAAUUCUUGCAGGAAAUCUGCUGGCUUCUGGGAGCUCAUAGCUGGGAGCUAAGAACUACUUGUCAUUCACCAUCUGAUGCUGUGGAGUACUAAACAGUAAAUUUGUGCACAUCUUCAAUUUCAGCAGGAUCAUAUUUUGUGAUACAACAGCUAAUAGCUGAAGAACUCUGCCAUGAAAGUCCCAAGCAGCCCAGCCUUAGCAGGUAUUCAUUUUUUUUCAAGAUAUCUUUACUUUUAAUUGUUUUUAUUUAUUUAUUCAUUAACAUCUAACUUCAUUAAAGAUAUGUCUGGAAUGUUUUCAUGCUAAAGGACAAACCUGUGUUACAUUUUAACAGGUAGCAAGGAAAGAACAGAAUGUGUACAGAAGGAAUACAGCUACAACUGAUUCCUGGAAGCACAAUAAUGCAAAUAGAGAUUUCCCCCUUCGGAGCAAAAUGCCAUGAUGCUCACAAGAGCUAUAUAGACAGAAAAUGGUGCUGAUAGAAGCAAAAGAGGAAAGUUUUCAUCAUCCAAACAACAUGGACCUAAAUAUUGGAACCUAACAUUGGAAACUAAAGGCCAAUUACUCCCUGAGGUGCAUGGGGGGCCACUUCCACUGUAAUCAGUCUUGUGAUUGUGAAGGCAGAAGAGGACCUUGACUGUCUGUAUCUGGACUUUGUCAGCCCAUUUGUUUGUGACCAUAGUUGUAUCAUUACUGUGCUUUUCAAUAAAGGGAUGUUCACUGAGGCA